rnacentral:rRNA from 1 species
GACGAACGCUGGCGGCGUGCCUAAUACAUGCAAGUUGAGCGCUGAAGGUUGGUACUUGUACCGACUGGAUGAGCAGCGAACGGGUGAGUAACGCGUGGGGAAUCUGCCUUUGAGCGGGGGACAACAUUUGGAAACGAAUGCUAAUACCGCAUAAAAACUUUAAACACAAGUUUUAAGUUUGAAAGAUGCAAUUGCAUCACUCAAAGAUGAUCCCGCGUUGUAUUAGCUAGUUGGUGAGGUAAAGGCUCACCGAGGCGAUGAUACAUAGCCGACCUGAGAGGAUGAUCGGCAACAAUGGGGCUGAGAAACGGCCCAAACUCCUAAGGGAGGCAGCAGUAGGGAAUCAUCGGCAAUGGACGAAAGUCUGACAGAGCAACGCCGCGUGAGUGAAGAAGGUUUUCGGAUCGUAAAACGCUGUUGGUAGAGAAGAACGUUGGUGAGAGUGGAAAGCUCAUCAAGUGACGGUAACUACCCAGAAAGGGACGGAUAACUACGUG